UAGUUACCUUUGGCUAAUUGAGG
rnacentral:piRNA from 1 species